rnacentral:rRNA from 1 species
GUAGGUGGCAAGCGUUGUCCGGAAUUAUUGGGCGUAAAGCGCGCGCAGGCGGUCCUUUAAGUCUGAUGUGAAAGCCCACGGCUCAACUGUGGAGGGUCAUUGGAAACUGGGGGACUUGAGUACAGAAGAGGAAAGCGGAAUUCCAAGUGUAGCGGUGAAAUGCGUAGAGAUUUGGAGGAACACCAGUGGCGAAGGCGGCUUUCUGGUCUGUAACUGACGCUGAGGCGCGAAAGCGUGGGGAGCAAACAGGAUUAGAUACCCUGGUAGUCCACGCCGUAAACGAUGAGUGCUAAGUGCUAGGGGGUUUCCGCCCCUUAGUGCUGCAGCUAACGCAUUAAGCACUCCGCCUGGGAGUACGGCCGCAAGGCUG